rnacentral:lncRNA from 1 species
ACAAUGCCAUCUCCACCCUACACCCAGAAGAAUCGAGAAAAUGGAGCAAAUGCUAGGUGUGUCGCCAGGUGUGCCGGUGGCCUCUGGGCCUGGGGCCGUGCAAGGAACUGGUGACCCCAGUGCAGGACACCUGAGAAGAGCAUCCCUUCUCCCACGGGAGUGUCUGGAGUCCAGAGGGGUACAUGCAUGAAGACCUGCAUGGAAACUACACCGAAACCUGCUCAGUGGAGCCGCCUUUGGCCUGAGAACAGGUGGGGAAGAGUAUUUGGAUCUCAUUUCGUACUCUUAAAAUGUCAUCAGGAAACAUCUGGAUGGAAGGGUUUGUGGUAAAUUUGAUUUCCUUCUUUACACUUUUCUCUAUUAACAAGAACCAAAGUCAGUAUCUUUAAAUGUUUCAAAACAAACACGGAC